rnacentral:rRNA from 1 species
GUGGGGAAUAUUGGACAAUGGGCGAAAGCCUGAUCCAGCCAUGCCGCGUGUGUGAAGAAGGUCUUCGGAUUGUAAAGCACUUUAAGUUGGGAGGAAGGGCAUUAACCUAAUACGUUAGUGUUUUGACGUUACCGACAGAAUAAGCACCGGCUAACUUCGUGCCAGCAGCCGCGGUAAUACGAAGGGUGCAAGCGUUAAUCGGAAUUACUGGACGUAAAGCGCGCGUAGGUGGUUCGUUAAGUUGGAUGUGAAAGCCCCGGGCUCAACCUGGGAACUGCAUCCAAAACUGGCGAGCUAGAGUACGGUAGAGGGUGGUGGAAUUUCCUGUGUAGCGGUGAAAUGCGUAGAUAUAGGAAGGAACACCAGUGGCGAAGGCGACCACCUGGACUGAUACUGACACUGAGGUGCGAAAGCGUGGGGAGCAAACAGGAUUAGAAACCCCAGUAGUCC